rnacentral:rRNA from 1 species
UACAGAGGGUGCAAACGUUGUUCGGAAUUACUGGGCGUAAAGCGCGUGUAGGCGGUCGUGCAAGUCGGGUGUGAAAGCCCAGGGCUCAACCCUGGAAGUGCAUUCGAUACUGCAUGGCUAGAGUCCCGGAGAGGAUGGUGGAACUCUCGGUGUAGAGGUGAAAUUCGUAGAUAUUCGCAAGAACACCAGUGGCGAAGGCGGCUCACUGGCCCGAUACUGACGCUGAGGCACGAAAGCGUGGGGAGCAAACAGG